AUGGGCUGUGGACAGCCUCCUAGCCUUCAACUCCGCCCUUACUUGCGUGUUUUUCCCAUUCGCCAGCGCUACAGCGCGAAAACUUUAAAAUGGACCCAGAAAUGUCGCUCCUUUGUGUGGACAAUUUUAUUUCUCGAGGAGCUUGAAAACCCUUAUCGUCGUCGCCCACACGUUUUGUACCUUAGGCUCAUCAGAGACAAUCAUAUCCAGCACUUUAUCAAACUGUUGUCUGCUACAGAGUUACAAGUAUUAUACUAAUAAUAUAGCAUCCACCAUCUUCUGCUUGCAUAUUUCUGAAAACAUCUUAGUGGUGUGGCAGCCACGAGUGAGCCAGCCCUGCAAACCCUGUGGAUGGACGAUGCAGUGGGCAGUGGGAGGAAGCAUCCUAAAGCUCUCUAUGCGUUACCAUAGCGACCACAGAGCAUUAAGCGGCAGAGAGGAGGAUGUUACUGUCAAUAUUGGCGCAUUUUCAGGAGGACGCUGCUAAUAAAGUUACACAAUUACACAGUACAUUCACGUUUAUUAUUAUAUUUACAAAAUACCACAGUUUUUGUCUUGGUCGGAUCAUUUUAUGUUGUUGUUUGUAUUUCUCAACAAUGCCUUAAAGGCCGGUCCGUGUCUGACAUAAACCGGUCUGUGACGCAAGAAAGGUUGGGGUUCGUUGCUGUACAGCAUGAAGGUUAAUAGGACCACACUCAUAUGAAUAUGAUUAUGUAAAUUGAUUUAUUCUUGUACCUCCACGCCGUAGCGGCCCAAUUCUUCACCCCAGUGAAGAGGCGAUCGUUUUCUCCUCGUUUUAAUAAAUUAAGGUGUUUGGUCUUUGUUCCCCACAACAUAUCACCAAAAAAUCUAAAUUAGCUGUAUGUAAGCGGUAAUACGUGAAAAAUCGCGGGACCCCCGAUACAAGCUGGUUUACGGUUAUUUUAAAGAAAAGAAACAUGUCUAUGCAGAUGCCCAAAGCUUAACAAAACGACCGCUAUAACAAUUUAACUUUUGUACAACCAGAUUUUCAUAUGCUUACAUUUGAAAGUGUUUUCCUCUCCUGCUUCGACCACCAUCGUUAUCAGAAACAAAUCUCCUCUAUGACCCGCAAUGAAUCCUGGGAUAUAGUAGGACAUGAAGGAUACAUCAGACCAUCCUUAGAAUUCAGGGCAAAGUAGGACGCAUUUGUCGCCACAUUUUAAUAAUAAUAAUGAUAAUAAUAAUGCAUUGGAUUUAUAUAGCGCUUUUCAAGGCACCCAAAGCGCUUUACAAUGACAUUAUUCAUUCACACUCACAUUCACACACUGGUGGAGGCAAGCUACAGUUGUAGCCACAGCUGCCCUGGGGGAGACUGACAGAAGCGAGGCUGCCAUAUCGCGCCAUCGGCCCCUCUGGCCAACACCAGUAGGCGGUAGGGUAAAGUGUCUUGCCCAAGGACACAACGACCAGGACAGAGAGGCCGGGGAUCGAACCGGCGACCUUCCGGUUACAGGUGCCCUUCCCAACCCCCUGAGCCAUAGUCGCCCAUUUUGAGUACUCUUUGAAUUCGGACAGCCUUCGUCGCGUCGCCGUGACGUCAUUGACUCCAAAUAUGGCAUUGGCGUAUCCUUCCCCUGAAUUCAGACACGACUAACCCUCAAAUUCGCUGAAAAGUAGGACACAUUUGUCACCACAUUUUGAGUGCUCUUUGAAUUCGGACAGCCCUCGUCGCGUCGCUGUGACGUCAUUACCUCCAAAUAUGGCAUUUUAAGCAUCCUUCCCCUGAAUUCGGAAACAGCCAACAUGUCUUGACGUUCUCCAGAGGCCUGGUAAUGAGCUAAUCAUCUGAUUCAGGUGUGUUGACCCAGGGUGAUAUCUAAAACCUGCAGGACACCGGCCCUCGAGGCCUGGAGUUCGACACCCCUGCUAUACAGGAAGAACAUGCAAACUCCAUCCAGAAAGGCCCAGGAGAAAAAAAACUAUUUUGAAUUUAAAAGGGAUGUAUUUCCACUUCUUACACUGAGCCAAAUUAUAAGAAGAGAUUUUUUGCACUGUGUGCAGUUUAUGACUGAGAUUUAGUCAUUAACUGAAGACACAGCCAGCAGUCUGUGCCGGAGCUG
ensembl:lncRNA